ACCCUCUCAUCUAAAGAACCAAACCUUUUGUUUAUCAAGGCCUCUACAGUUUUUGAGUGACCUGUUCUAAAUCAGAUCCUACAGCGAACCAGGUUUGAAGCCUUUGGCUCCAAAGAGACUUUCCUACGUCUGAAAGCCGUUUUGGGCUCGGCUUUGGUUUCAUCGCCUCUUUGGGCAAUCGAUACAUCAGGCUGUUUCUACCCUGGGAGUUUCUAAUGGCAAGAACUCAAGUAACAUUAUAUGCCUAACAGGGGCGGAGGAGGAGAAAACCAGGAGCCUGAGUCUCAAAGUGAUGCUUCACUCUGCAAUAAAUCCAAGUGGCAAGACGACAUAAAAGAGAUACGAGCACGAAGGAAAAAAAACAUUCAAUGCAAUGGCAGAAAUCUUCAAAAGGAGAAGAGCAGAACAGCAGGACGCAUUCUGAGCGCCACAGUGUCUGAAAGACACCACUUUUUCAUCAGGGCAAACUAGGAGCAAAUGUAGAGUCUGGAGGUGAGCGGUAUGGACUUCAUAGAGUCCGAGGUGCCAUUCAACGACUAAAAGCUCCCGUCCCGCCGAGCACUCUGAGCGGCUGCAGUUCGGAGGAAGAGAUGCUGAGGUAAUGGCUUCCUUAUGGACUCCCGGCGCAAGAGUGAUGGGCUGACAGAUGGUAUGUUAAAUAUCUCCCGCCUCCGACUACAACAUCGGGACCCUGACCUCUUUGAAAGGGAAGGCUUAACAAGGGACUCCGAAGGUCAGCGGGCUGUAAUAUGUCACUGGGAUUUAAAGGGGAAGGCGAUUGCGGUGUGUUUACAUGAGCUGGGGUUACGCUAUUUUCCGUCUGUGAAAGAAAAAUGUGGGAAAAGGCAUCGGGGCCACAGUCUGAACCGCAGGCAGAUUCUUACUGGUAGCUCCAUUCACAAAGCUGGCAGAAGAGGAAGAGGACGUGUCUGUGGCUCCUGUGAGACGACCAGAGAGAUGUGACAGGAGCCAGCAAACUAGGUCAGAGGUCAUGGAGACCUUGAAUGGACUUGAGGGCUGAG